rnacentral:tRNA from 1 species
CGGGACGUGGCUGAGACAGUUAAGCGACUCCCUUACACCGAGUAUACAUUCAUGCAAGUUGAAUCGUCCCGA